CCAAUUAUACUGUAAUCUCGAUGUAAAUUGAAGGUGUACUGCAGUAUUCAAAUAGUGAAUCUCUAAUUUAAUAUUAGAAAAAUAAUUAACUUAAAGGGGAAGUCAAGUCCGUUCUGCGCAUCGGUUCUGCUCAUAACAAUGUGAGGACCUCUAAUGUGAACAUUGCCCAAAUUUCGAAUGUUUCGAAUUUUUCUGAACAUAAACUUUAUUUCAUAUUCAUUUAGAAGCGUAGCGAACCAAAAUAGUGUUAGUUUAUAUUCAGACAGUAUAUCAUAUUUUAAAAAAUACAGCAGUUCAAAAUGUAAACAAACCGUUUGUUUACAUUACGGACUUGACUUCCCCUUUAAGAUAUUUAGGAUUACAAGUUUACAGCCAACCUCUAUAGUAGUAAUAGUACAUUUAACCAUUUCAACCAUUGCACGGUAUAAAAUCCAAUUAUCUAACAUUAGUGUUCCAGAUCACUACAGAGUGAGUAGUAUAUAGUCAAUAGUCUAUACCGUUCAAAAUUAAUUUUAAUAAUGAUAAUUAACCUGAAAAAACAUGUUGUGUUGUUUCAUUUUUGUCUGUUUUCUCGAACGACAUAUUACUUAAACGACUUUUUUAUCAAUUUUUCUUUAAAUCUUUUACCUCCUCGUCUGUCGCCCUUACUUUCAUAUUGUUUGCUAGUUUUAGCAUGUUUUCGCUUGGUUUAAGUGCUGCUGCUGAAAACUUUCCUUUUUUCAUUGCCAUAUUCAACUGAAGAAGAGAAACUAAAGUAAAGAUGACUUUAACGAUGCUGUUCGGUCAGUUUUGAUCAAUUUUAGCGAGCUGAAGAUCCAUUCCACGGCAGCAUCUGAGGAAGGAAAUGUCGCUAGGAUCUGAACAAAUUCGGGGAGGUUUGGGAAUUUUUGUUGUCCGGUCGGAUUCUUCACAUCUCGGACGGUGGUCCAGUACUCUUCCCUGAUGAAAUCACCAUUACCUUUUUCAUGCAUUGUGUAUUCACGCCAUUCACACGAUAGCAAUUCUGUCGGGGAUUUUUCUUCUCCUGGCAAAUGUGAUCGAAUGAAUGACAUGCAAAAGACUUAGAAUUGUUUACUUAUGAAAAGCGACUCUAUACUUUUAUGUGCCGCGAGUUCACUCAUUU